AAGUCGUAACAAGGUUUCCGUAGGUGAACCUGCGGAAGGAUCAUUACUGAGUGACCUUUUGGGUGCCCCAUGUUGUGGGGGACCGGUUACCCGACCUUUCUGUCAUUUGCACCGGGCCGCGUCUGGAGUCGUCUUUUGCCGAGGCUGGGAAACCCGCGUGGCGGGAAAGAAGGCGGAGGGGGGAGACGACGACGAGGAGGACGAGGACGGGAAAGUGUGAUUUCGGCGGAGGUGGUAGGGAGCGGUCUCUCCCUUCUCGCGAGGGAAGGGAGGGGCUUUGACCUGCCCGCCGCCGGCGGUAUUUCCAACUCUUGUGUGAGGAAGCAUGAAGUCUGAAGACGAGCCGAAAGGCGGAAAAGAAAAGCAAAACUUUCAACAACGGAUCUCUUGGCUCUG
rnacentral:misc_RNA from 1 species